rnacentral:tRNA from 1 species
AUUAGGGUGUCAGAUAAAUGUGUUAAAUUUAGGAUUUAAUUAUGGGUACACUCCCCCUAAUA